GGUGGGGGGAAUGCCUAAUACAUGCAAGUCGAACGAGCUUCCGUUGAAUGACGUGCUUGCACUGAUUUUAACAAUGAAGCGAGUGGCGAACUGGUGAGUAACACGUGGGAAAUCUGCCCAGAAGCAGGGGAUAACACUUGGAAACAGGUGCUAAUACCGUAUAACAACAAAAUCCGCAUGGAUUUUGUUUGAAAGGUGGCUUCGGCUAUCACUUCUGGAUGAUCCCGCGGCGUAUUAGUUAGUUGGUGAGGUAAAGGCCCACCAAGACGAUGAUACGUAGCCGACCUGAGAGGGUAAUCGGCCACAUUGGGACUGAGACACGGCCCAAACUCCUACGGGAGGCAGCAGUAGGGAAUCUUCCACAAUGGACGAGAGUCUGAUGGAGCAAUGCCGCGUGAGUGAAGAAGGGUUUCGGCUCGUAAAACUCUGUUGUUAAAGAAGAACACCUUUGAGAGUAACUGUUCAAGGGUUGACGGUAUUUAACCAGAAAGCCACGGCUAACUACGUGCCAGCAGCCGCGGUAAUACGUAGGUGGCAAGCGUUGUCCGGAUUUAUUGGGCGUAAAGCGAGCGCAGGCGGUUUUUUAAGUCUGAUGUGAAAGCCUUCGGCUUAACCGGAGAAGUGCAUCGGAAACUGGGAGACUUGAGUGCAGAAAAGGACAGUGGAACUCCAUGUGUAGCGGGGGAAUGCGUAGAUUUUUGGAAGAACACCAGUGGCGAAGGCGGCUGUCUAGUUUGAAACUGACGCUGAGGCUCCAAAGCAUGGGUAGCGA
rnacentral:rRNA from 1 species